CCAGUCGGGGCACCAGAAGGCCGCGGGCCGCGCACGCCGCCUGCGUGCCACGGCGCCUGAGAAUGACGUCAGCUCCGCGACGGGAGAGGCCGCUGGCUGCUGAGCGGGGAGGCCGCCCGUCCUGCGCCGAGACCCGGCCACGUGCACCAUGACCAAGCUGGUGCAGUGGCUGUGCGGACUGGCCCUGCUGGGCACUGCCUGGGCCACCCUGGCCUUGGACCCCCUGGGCCUCCACCUCCCUCUGCCCUGCCAGCAGGUGCUCUGGCCGUUCCCCGUGUACCUGCUGGUGGCGUUCGGCUGCUACUCCCUGGCGACCAUUGGCUACCGCCUGGCUACGUUCAAUGACUGCGAGGCUGCGGCGAAGGAGCUCCAGGAGCAGAUCAGAGAGGCCCGAGCGGACCUGAGCCGGCGAGGGCUGAAGUUCUGACCCGCGGGGUGGGGAGGCUGCACCCCAGGGAGCUGGGCCGCUCACCUCACUUGGAUUAGCACAAUAAAGAAUCAGUGUAUGUA